AAAUGGUAUCAAACGGACACGAAUGUAGUAUUCUAUUUCUUACAUACCUCGAAAAAAUGAAAAUGUAAACAAUAUAAUGAACUAAAUUAUGUUGUUACAGAACGUAGCCUAACUGGGUCAUGGCGUAUGGAGUGUAAAGUGACGUCACCCCAUUUCAUUUCCACCGGAGUCAGAAUGUAAAGUGACGUCACUCCACUUUCGAUCGCUUUGGUUACUGGGUCAUGACCUCUCAGAGCUGCCAGUUGUAUGUCUUGAAAUUGUUAACACACGUACAUGUGUAAACAAAUAUGUGUUAUCAAAAAUAACGAAUGAUGUUCUCACCAAUGGGUGUGUAAGAAAGUAAAUCCACUGUAGACUGGCUGUUUACGGUUACCAGGCGACCACCAAUACUGUGACACACGUGAGAUGCCGUGUUCCACGACUGGGCUUAGGCGCGAUUAUUUCAUAACACUUGCUGUGGUGUCCUAAUUACCGGGAACCUGCCGUCAAUUGUUAAAAGGUGACCACUGGCAGACAGUAGAAUUCUUUCUCCUGCUGCAGACAGAAUCUGAUGUCCUCGCCCUCUGUCUGUCUGGUCUCUCGUGUGUACAGCGGGCGCUGGUUUGGAAUUGCACAACAUUUACCCCUGUUCCAAAUAAACAAAACAAAAA